rnacentral:rRNA from 1 species
AGUGAACGCUGGCGGUAGGCCCAACACAUGCAAGUCGAACGGCAGCACAGUAAGAGCUUGCUCUUACGGGUGGCGAGUGGCGGACGGGUGAGGAAUAUAUCGGAAUCUACUUUUUCGUGGGGGAUAACGUAGGGAAACUUACGCUAAUACCGCAUACGACCUACGGGUGAAAGCAGUGGAUCUUCGGACCUUGCGCGAUUGAAUGAGCCGAUGUCGGAUUAGCUAGUUGGCGGGGUAAAGGCCCACCAAGGCGACGAUCCGUAGCUGGUCUGAGAGGAUGAUCAGCCACACUGGAACUGAGACACGGUCCAGACUCCUACGGGAGGCAGCAGUGGGGAAUAUUGGACAAUGGGCGCAAGCCUGAUCCAGCCAUACCGCGUGGGUGAAGAAGGCCUUCGGGUUGUAAAGCCCUUUUGUUGGGAAAGAAAAGCAGCAGGUUAAUACCCCGCUGUUCUGACGGUACCCAAAGAAUAAGCACCGGCUAACUUCGUG